rnacentral:lncRNA from 1 species
AACCAACAAGUAUGUAACCAUGGAAUGAAGUGUAUCGGUGCCGCAACAACAAUACCUGUCAAGCUAUAGUUGAAUAUGUGGAGCUGUAGGUGGGCUGAAGCAAGGAAGUACUAGCACCACGUUAGUCACAAUAGUAAGCUGAGUAAACGGCGGUACUAUGCUGGUCCUAGGCUAAACCAUGCUAGAGAAAUGAGCCUAGGCAAAAAGGUAGUAAGUAAAAAAGAGCAAUUAGCACAACACGAAGAAAAAUAACAGAUUCGCAGAUUCAGCCCCUUCUUUCUUCUCCUUCC